AGUUUGAUCCUGGCUCAGAUUGAACGCUGGCGGCAUGCUUUACACAUGCAAGUCGAACGGUACAGGUCUUCGGAUGCUGACGAGUGGCGAACGGGUGAGUAACACAUCGGAACGUGCCUAGUAUGGGGGAUAACUACUCGAAAGAGUAGCUAAUACCGCAUGAGAUCUAAGGAUGAAAGCAGGGGACCUUCGGGCCUUGCGCUACUAGAGCGGCUGAUGGCAGAUUAGGUAGUUGGUGGGAUAAAAGCUUACCAAGCCGACGAUCUGUAGCUGGUCUGAGAGGACGACCAGCCACACUGGGACUGAGACACGGCCCAGACUCCUACGGGAGGCAGCAGUGGGGAAUUUUGGACAAUGGGCGAAAGCCUGAUCCAGCAAUGCCGCGUGUAGGAUGAAGGCCCUCGGGUUGUAAACUACUUUUGUACGGAACGAAAAGACUCUCUCUAAUAAAGAGGGUCCAUGACGGUACCGUAAGAAUAAGCACCGGCUAACUACGUG
rnacentral:rRNA from 1 species